rnacentral:rRNA from 1 species
UACGUAGGGUGCUAGCGUUGUCCGGAUUUCUUGGGCGUAAAGAGCUUGUAGGCGGCCAGGUAGGUCCGGUGUGAAAACUCGAGGCUUAACCUCGAGAUGUCAUCGGAAACCAUUUGGCUAGAGUCCGGAAGAGGAAAGUGGAAUUCCUGGUGUAGCGGUGAAAUGCGCAGAUAUCAGGAAGAACACCAAUGGCGAAAGCAGCUUUCUUGGACGGUACUGACGCUGAGACGCGAAAGCCAGGGGAGCAAACGGG